ACCACCAGUUACCAUAAAUAUAGCGACCCCUUGAAAAUGACAAAAACUAACUAUUCGAGCAACACUGUUUAAGUUGCUAUGAACUAGUUACCAAGGAGCACCAGAAUAAAUAAACAAACAGUUUGAAACAGUUGUGGAAUAAUUCCACAUUUCAUGGUUAUUAAAAAUCUUACAAAAAAUAGCAAUAAUUCAUUCGAGGGCUGAAUUGUAUAUAAAGUUUGUCAAACGCCGAUGCUUGUUCGAUCUCGAAAAAAGUUCUCUGGAACCAAAUACUUAGGAAGCAAAGCUAAAAACUUUAAAUGAGUUGAUUGAAAAGUCCCCAUUGAGUACGCAAAUGCAGGAAAUUCUUGGGACAUAUUUACUUUUAGAGCGUUAUUUCAUGGAAGAAAGCGUCCUGAAAGCGAUGUACAGCAUUGGAACGGGGCAGCAAUGCUCCAGCAUGUUGGAUGAUGUAUUUUUCAUUAUUCGGAAGUGCAUUCGACGUGGAACGUGGAACGCAAUCGCUAGACGGAGUGUGUGCUGUUGUUAAUAACGCUGCUAGUUGAUUGGAAAUAGACUUCAUAAAUGCUUUGAAAUCACCUUUGAAAUCUGGUUACCCUACUGGUUACAUAGAUCUAACCCAAUCGGCACUUCAAAGUUCAAUCCAGCAAGGGCGAUUACAAACUAAGGAUGUUGAACAGACACGUGCAAAUUUUUUUUAAACCUCGUUUGCAUCCGUGGGUUGACCAAUAUAUCAAUCACAAUCACAACCUCGCUGAGGAAGAGUUGGCAUCGUAUGAAGCUGGGGAAACAUUUAUACAAUUCCUUAUAGUGCAAGUCGACGCCUUAUUAACGGCGUUCAAAACUGCCCUCACACCAAGGAAUUAUGAUGGAUUAUGAUUAUUCGGUUAGUAUCAUUACUAGUGAAGUUACAAGUCGCCUGGAGCGAGUUAUCAAAAAAUCUACAUUCAAUCGGCUUGGUGGACUAGUUUUAGUUUUUUUGCUUAGUUAAAUGAAUAUAUUCCCCCUGAAGAUAACACA